rnacentral:lncRNA from 1 species
CAUUCAAUAUAAAGGAGGACACCCGCAUCACCCAUCAGUGCAUAUUUACGGUACUGCUAAUACGCCCCCUCGCUUUGAAGCUGUCUCCGCCCAAAGAGCCUCUGGCGCUCCUCACUUCUUCUCGUCCUUCUCCUCCACGCCGCCGGCCACGUAGUGGGUGUGCAGCAGCUCGUGCGCCUGCAGGGGUCAAGCACACGGCACACGUCAUGCAUCCAUGUAGCAACAGUCGCGUGUGGGUAGCUAUCAGGACAAGGCAUGUACCGCCCUGCCCAGUGUGCCCCCCCGUCCCUUCACCUGCUGUUGCCCCACACCCAGCCCGCCUCCCUCCCGGCCCGCCUCUCCAACGCCCCCGACCAGCCCCGUCAUUUGGGCUGGUAGUUACAACCCCCCCCCACCUUGUGGCCCAGCGGCUCUCCGAGGUACGUGUCGUACAGCUCGCGGAUGGACGGGUUCUCGUGGCUGCGGCGCAGCGUGGACCUGGGGCAGCAACAGGAGCGCACGUGCAGGCGCACAUUGUGUCAGGAAGUGCCGACCCUCUUUGCUCGUGCGAAUACCGUCGUCGGGACCCUACGCACACCUCCUCCACACUGCUUCCAUCACAUCCUGCCCGCCAACCUGUAGCAAGUAAC